AGAUUGAGCAUCAGUCUGAGAAGAAAAGGAGACAUCAUAUGGGUAAAUGGAAGCAUUGACGAGGUGGCGGGAGAGGAGCAGGAAGAGGAGGUGGCCAAGGAGGAGGAGAUGGACAAAAAAGAGGGGCAGCUGGCCAAGGAAGAGGGGGAGGUGGCCAAGGAAGCGGGGGAGGUGGCCAAGGAAGAGAGGGAGGUGGCCAAGGAAGAGGCCAAAGAGGAAGAGGAGGCCCUGCUACAACAGAUUCAUCCACAAGUGCAAAGACAAUAAACUAUUUUAACGUUACAUGUAAAGAACUUAAUUAUACUU